rnacentral:rRNA from 1 species
AGUGAACGCUGGCGGUAGGCCUAACACAUGCCAGUCGAACGGCAGCACAGUAAGAGCUUGCUCUUACGGGUGGCGAGUGGCGGACGGGUGAGGAAUACAUCGGAAUCUACUUUUUCGUGGGGGAUAACGUGGGGAAACUUACGCUAAUACCGCAUACGACCUACGGGUGAAAGCAGGGGAUCUUCGGACCUUGCGCGAUUGAAUGAGCCGAUGUCGGAUUAGCUAGUUGGCGGGGUAAAGGCCCACCAAGGCGACGAUCCGUAGCUGGUCUGAGAGGAUGAUCAGCCACACUGGAACUGAGACACGGUCCAGACUCCUACGGGAGGCAGCAGUGGGGAAUAUUGGACAAUGGGCGCAAGCCUGAUCCAGCCAUACCGCGUGGGUGAAGAAGGCCUUCGGGUUGUAAAGCCCUUUUGUUGGGAAAGAAAAGCAGCAGGUUAAUACCCCGCUGUUCUGACGGUACCCAAAGAAUAAGCACCGGCUAACUUCGUG